AUUGAACGCUGGCGGCAGGCCUAACACAUGCAAGUCGAACGAGUGGCGGACGGGUGAGUAAUGUCUGGGAAACUGCCCGAUGGAGGGGGAUAACUACUGGAAACGGUAGCUAAUACCGCAUACCAUCGGAUGUGCCCAGCUGGGAUUAGCUAGUAGGUGGGGUAAUGGCUCACCUAGGCGACGAUCCCUAGAUGGUCUGAGAGGAUGACCAUCCAGACUGGAACUGAGACACGGUCCAGACUCCUACGGGAGGCAGCAGGGGGUAAUAUUGCACAAUGGGAGCUAGCCUGAUUCAGCCAUGCCGCGUGUAUGAAGAAGGCCUUCGGUUUGUAAAGUACUUUCAGCGUUGAGGCGUUACCCGCAGAAGAAGCACCGGCUAACUCCGUGCCAGCAGCCGCGGUAAUAC
rnacentral:rRNA from 1 species